GCAAGUCGAGCGGAAACGAUUCUAGUUUACUAGCAGGCGUCGAGCGGCGGACGGGUGAGUAAUGCUUGGGAAUAUGCCUUAAGGUGGGGGACAACAGUUGGAAACGACUGCUAAUACCGCAUAAUGUCUACGGACCAAAGGAGGGGAUCUUCGGACCUUUCGCCUAAUGAGUAGCCCAAGCGAGAUUAGCUAGUUGGUGAGGUAAAGGCUCACCAAGGCGACGAUCUCUAGCUGGUUUGAGAGGAUGAUC
rnacentral:rRNA from 1 species